UACGUAGGAGGCGAGCGUUGUCCGGAAUUACUGGGCGUAAAGCGCACGCAGGCGGUUCGCCAAGUUUGGAGUGACAGUUGUCGGCUCAACCGACAAAGGACUUCAAAAACUGGUGAACUUGAGGACGAGAGAGGAACAUGGAACUCCAGGUGUAGUAGUGAAAUGCGUAGAUAUCUGGAAGAACACCAAUGGCGAAGGCAAUGUUCUGGCUCGUUUCUGACGCUCAGGUGCGAAAGCCAGGGGAGCGAACGGG
rnacentral:rRNA from 1 species